AUGUGCUUCCUCAAACUCGUAACACAACCAAGGCAGCAACAAGAACGAGACGCUCUGAUCUCUUCAUUUGUGUCGUUGUUGAUCGAUGCACUCACCUCUUCUCGUGCCCGUCUUCGACUUCUAUCAAUUCGAACCGUGCAUCCUAAAUCGACGGCGGGGGAGGCGAUGAUCUUCUCGGAACAGAUCGACUUCAGGGAUAAUGAAGUUGAUGGUGUUCAUGGUUCUGUGAUGAGGAUUAAGGAAGUGAAGUUGUGGUGA